UACAGAGGGCCCAAGCGUUGUUCGGAUUCACUGGGCGUAAAGGGUGCGUAGGCGGUCGGGUAAGUCUGAUGUGAAAUCUCACAGCUUAACUGUGAAACUGCAUUGGAUACUAUCCGGCUCGAGGAAUGGAGGGGAGAGUGGAAUACUUGGUGUAGCAGUGAAAUGCGUAGAUAUCAAGUGGAACACCAGUGGCGAAGGCGAGUCUCUGGACAUUUACUGACGCUGAGGCACGAAAGCCAGGGGAGCAAACGGG
rnacentral:rRNA from 1 species